UCAAUGUCAUCAUUUUUAUUAUGGAUAAUUUAUUUAGUAGCAAUCCUUUAUUGAACAUUUAGGUUGCUCCAUUUUUUUAUAGUUAAAAAAACACUUCAUGGAGAGUCCAAAGUCAGAAACAUAGGACUAACUUAUUUCCAAACUGUAUAUUAGUCACAUUUUAAAAUAAUAGGCUCAACAUAUUUUCCUUCAACUUCCAUGCACCUUCUUCCAUGAAGUGUUUCUAAAGCAACAGAUCCAACUGUUAAUCUAAAAAGUAUUAAAAAUACACUAUUUUCCCUGUGUUUCCAGACUUUUUGGACAACAUUUAGUAUGUUUUUACAACUUACUGUUUCUAUGUGUCCCAUUGAGUGGGCAGUUGUUUACACUCUUAAAAAUUGGGAAAAAAAAUUCAGAGGAAAAGAAAGUAUGGCUUCCAGACCAUAUGUAGAAGGUAUCACUUUUCCAAGUAGAUCUCUGCACUGUUAUCCCAGAUCUAGGGUUUAGACACCAUAGGGAAAGGGAAUACUGCUUAAAAAGGGUGUGUAGGAUAGUUGAAGUCGACCUUUCAGGGAAAGGCAAGAAGGCUGUGUACGUCACAGUCUAUAAUUUACUUAAAGGCAGGAUUUAUGAUGGCAAAAUCAAGGUAUCUAUUCAAAUGAGAAAGUUCCUCACACAGAGAUGCUGCUAGUCCAUGUGACAGUUUUCUGCAAAGUAGCCAAGGGAAUCCCCUUUGGAUGGAUAAAGCUCCUUGGAUCAAGUAUUCUGUCAGGACUGUGGUACUAUUCUCUGGGUCAACUGUGUGAUUUCUACAGAGAUACAUUCUGCUGCUAAUUUGGCUCCUUUGGGCAGAGAAAUUCAAUUUUCUCCCGCUCAUAAAAGUUCACAACCACGUAACUUCUGUGAGUUGCUCCAGAAAGGAAGAUAUGAUCAGACCUCAUGAGGAUUAAAAUGAUCUGGAUAUGUCUUGUGUGCAGCGCGAGCAGACAGGAUUAUCAUUCAAGGCAAACAUGUGGAUCUUUUACAGUGUGGAGGUUAAAGAAGACAUUAUAAACACUGGCAAUGCUUGGAUCGUAACAAAUUGGAUUUAUUCUUCUGACUUGUUAUAAAAUGCCUGGUGGGGAAACAUAAAUGAUGAAUGAAAAACCAGAAGAAAGUUUUCAUGGACUUAGUUGACCAGAAAUGGGUUCAUCUGAAAUUAAUUAAGCUGUUCUCUAAAGAAAUCUUUGAUAAUUUUCUGAUCUCUGGUAUUUGAAGAAUAUUUAAUAGUAUAGGUUUUACAGAGUCAUUGUAUAGUAUUAUCUGCUGAUACAUAUUUAUAUUUAUUUUAUAUAUUUAUUUAUGUAUAGGCUUUGUUACUUGUACAUCUUUCUUUCAAUGGGUAACUCAUUUUUGUUCUUAAGUAAAACAAGCAGUGGGAAUGAUGGAAAUACAACAGUAU